rnacentral:rRNA from 1 species
CCCAGACUCCUACGGGAGGCAGCAGUGGGGGAUAUUGCACAAUGGGGGGAACCCUGAUGCAGCGACGCCGCGUGGGUGAAGGAGCGUUUCGGCGCGUAAAGCCCUAUCGGCAGGGAAGAAGGAGGACGGUACCUGACUAAGAAGCCCCGGCUAACUACGUGCCAGCAGCCGCGGUAAUACGUAGGGGGCAAGCGUUAUCCGGAUUUACUGGGUGUAAAGGGGGCGCAGACGGCAGCGCAAGCCAGGAGUGAAAGCCCGGGGCCCAGCCCCGGGACUGCUCUUGGAACUGCGCGGCUGGAGUGCAGGAGGGGCAGGCGGAAUUCCUGGUGUAGCGGUGAAAUGCGUAGAUAUCAGGAGGAGCACCGGUGGCGAAGGCGGCCUGCUGGACUGCGACUGACGUUGAGGCCCGAAAGCGUGGGGAGCAAACAGGAUUAGAUACCCUAGUAC